rnacentral:rRNA from 1 species
GAUGAACGCUGGCUACAGGCUUAACACAUGCAAGUCGAGGGGAAACGGCAUUGAGUGCUUGCACUGAAUGGACGUCGACCGGCGCACGGGUGAGUAACGCGUAUCCAACCUUCCCGUUACUGCGGGAUAACCUGCCGAAAGGCAGACUAAUACCGCAUGUUCUUCGAUGACGGCAUCAGAUUCGAAGCAAAGACUCGUCGGUAACGGAGGGGGAUGCGUCUGAUUAGCUAGUUGGCGGGGCGACGGCCCACCAAGGCGACGAUCAGUAGGGGUUCUGAGAGGAAGGUCCCCCACAUUGGAACUGAGACACGGUCCAAACUCCUACGGGAGGCAGCAGUGAGGAAUAUUGGUCAAUGGGCGGAAGCCUGAACCAGCCAAGUAGCGUGCAGGAGGACGGCCCUACGGGUUGUAAACUGCUUUUAUGCGGGGAUAAAGUGAGGGACGCGUCCCUUUUUGCAGGUACCGCAUGAAUAAGACCGCUAAUUCC